AGUGAACGCUGGCGGUAGGCCUAACACAUGCAAGUCGAACGGCAGCACAGCAAGAGCUUGCUCUUACGGGUGGCGAGUGGCGGACGGGUGAGGAAUACAUCGGAAUCUACUUUUUCGUGGGGGAUAACGUAGGGAAACUUACGCUAAUACCGCAUACGACCUACGGGUGAAAGCAGGGGAUCUUCGGACCUUGCGCGAUUGAAUGAGCCGAUGUCGGAUUAGCUAGUUGGCGGGGUAAAGGCCCACCAAGGCGACGAUCCGUAGCUGGUCUGAGAGGAUGAUCAGCCACACUGGAACUGAGACACGGUCCAGACUCCUACGGGAGGCAGCAGUGGGGAAUAGUGGACAAUGGGCGCAAGCCUGAUCCAGCCAUACCGCGUGGGUGAAGAAGGCCUUCGGGUUGUAAAGCCCUUUUGUUGGGAAAGAAAAGCAGCAGGUUAAUACCCCGCUGUUCUGACGGUACCCAAAGAAUAAGCACCGGCUAACUUCGUG
rnacentral:rRNA from 1 species